rnacentral:lncRNA from 1 species
GGAGAAGGCUGCCUGGGAAGGUCUCUAUGAAGUCCACACUGGCCUAGUACUUGCUUUGUGUCUCACUUGCUCUGUGGCCUUCAAUUUGAAAUGAUCCUAACUCCCUGAAUCCUAGGAUUAUAGGCAUGCCCCUAGCGCUUGACCUAAUUUGUAUUCUAGCUUGGAGACUGAGAAGUAGGCUAAGGCAAAGGUUCCUCAUUCAGGCAGGGACCACAGUAAGGAAGAGUUUGUCAGGCACUCAGAACGCCUGCUACAAGGUUGUCUGUCUGCCAAGCCAUGCAUGUGGUUGUCGGUCAGUCUUCUGGCUGCUGCUUUGUACUGUAGACUACCCAGAGGACAGAUUUCUGAAGCUUAGGACAUGGAAAAAGAAAAGAAAAGAGGUGAAGUUAAUUUGUGUAUAUUGACUACAGAGGACGACUUGCAGAAGUCUCUCCUCCUUCCACCAUGUGGAUCCUAGGGAUUGACCUCAGGCCAUUAGACUUGGCAGCAAGUGCCUUUAGUUGUGGAGCUACCUCUCCAAGCAGAUCGUAUUUCUUACCUUUGAAUUAUGGCUCCAGUCUCCAAGUGGAGACACAUUUGAUCACUGAAGGAAUCACACAAUGUUUCUCUUGGCGCGCUUCAUUUACAGACCAUGGACCCUCACUGUGCUGCUUAGGGAGUGCAUCUGUGUAGCUAGGGUUAAGGACGGCAGGAGAGGCUCUGCCUAGAGGACAGUGGGAAGGUUCACUUCCCCUCUGUUGAGCAGCAGAGCCCUGUUCUCCCCACCAUCUGCUGCCUUGCUUUAAGCUCAUAUGAAGUAAGAGCCUUCUGCUUCCUGGAAGUGAGUUCGUUCAUCUUGAAGGGUCUCUUCAGUGUGCCUGGGAGGAACCUAGGGUUUACUGGACGUGCAGCUAAUGAUCUCAGGUGAAUAGGGUGAUACGCACUUGUUUAAUUCAUCUUCAUCACCUUAAAGGGAGCUCUGUCAUUUCUAGCAGAGGUCACUGUUCCCUCCCCUCCCCAGUCCCUCUCCUCUCUUUCUAAACUGUAAUCAUAAAUAAUGAGUUUCAUUCACAGCUCCCUGCCAGUGAGCUGCUAAUUACGUAAAGUAGUGCUUGUAAUUUACACAGUAAUAAACUGUAAAUUUAAAUAUU